AUGACGGACUUUUUCCGACAGGUGAAAGCGGGUACUGGUAAAUUCAACGCGCGCGUGCGGCGAUUAAAUGUUUUGCCGGUCUGCCACCAAGCGUACGGUCUCCACUCAUGCCCACUAAUUCGCUCAAGACCUCGUAACCCCGAACCAACAUCACGUCUCAGUUGCGAAAAAAAUAUCACGUCUCCAACUCCAACCAUAGCUCUCCCCUCUCCCCCAGCCGCCACAGAACUCCACCCUGUUCCCAUCGCCGCCGCCCGCCGCCCGCCGCUUCUCCUCUCCUCUGCUACCCCAGGCGCGAGGAACCAACCUCCCGAAGCAACCGGAGCGGCAAAGCGGCGGAGGAAUGGAGAGAUGGCGUCUGCGAUGGCGGGGAAAAAGAUGGGGCGGGCGUCCUACAUCCGGAUCAAGCAUGAGGAGGAGCGGCACGAGGCGUCCUGGAAGGAGCCCGAGGGCUGGGUCUUCUCCGCCACCACGCGCACCGAUGUCGCCGCGCGCCUUGGCGAGCUCCGCGACCAGAUCCUCGCCGGUUGCGCCUCCUUCCCGAACUCGCCGCACAGCACUCCGGCUGCUCCUCCGCCCGCCGCGGCGGCGACCUAG
rnacentral:rRNA from 1 species